AGGUCAUCAAGAGGUAGCAUGCCUGAAAUCAAAUUACACCAGAAAGGAGGUGGGAGACACUUAUCCUAGCAGACCAUUGUAUACUGUGUGUCUCACAAUGGAAGUCGAUUUGCAUACUGAGUCAAAAGGCUAAUGAAGAGAUUGUGGGGACUUUAGCAGAAGAAAUUAACAGGAAGAGGUGAACAGCAGGGGAGAGAGAACACUGUUUGCAGGCAUUAGAUCAUUUUUCCCUCCUUCUCUGAUGUAACUGCGCUUUUGAAACACCUAUUAGUUAGGCAGGCUAAAUAGGCAAUGUGACUCCUGCAGAAGACACCAAUAUCACAUGGAAGAGGCUCUAGAGGGUAAACAGUUCCACCAACUAUUUACUAAUAUCUGAAACCUGUACUGAAAGAGGAGAUGUGAUCUUUUGGUUAAAGACCUUUUGAAAAGCUUCCUCUGCUGGCUGGGUAGGAAGUGCUGGGGAGGAGGCCAUGACCACGCCAGGCGCAAUGGUGCUGGUGGGUGCUGUGCGAAUCUGAUAACCACUUGACAGACAUUAGGAACUCUCAAGAAAUUUGUGUCACAGGUUUUGGGGAACAGAUAGCAAACAUUCUCUUGAAAGAGCUGAAGGAAAUACGGAAAGUAGAAUAUGUACCAUACUAACAGCAACCAACAGGCCUUGUGAAUGACUUCAAGAAAUACACAGCCUGUGGCUGUGCAACCAUCAUGAACCAUGCAAUCAGAAUCAGCUUGCAGGGGCCACACCGUUGUACAUACACAGAAUACAGUUUUCAUCUAUUAGUAUCCACAGGAAGCCUGCCAAUGAGGAUCAGAACAGUUUAAGAUUGGUGCAUUGCAUCCAAUGGUGGAUCUGAGGGAACAAUAUUAGGAAGACAUGUCAAUAGCGAAAACAAGAAUAAGUGCUGUGUGUUAAGUGGAGUGGUGAUCUGAAGUGAAAUCGAAUCAUGCUGGGUAUAGAACUGAGGACUGAAGAACGAAAAGGACACAUGAGAGUUUACAUUUCUUCACAACUUACCUUGAAGCCAGUGACUGUAGCAAGUCAUAAAUUGAACCCUUGUAACACUGUCACUUGAGUCCAGCAUUAAACUACAAACCAGUUUCCA